AUUGAACGCUGGCGGCAGGCUUAACACAUGCAAGUCGAGCGGGGUGAUGGUGCUUGCACUAUCACUUAGCGGCGGACGGGUGAGUAAUGCUUAGGAAUCUGCCUAUUAGUGGGGGACAACAUCUCGAAAGGGAUGCUAAUACCGCAUACGUCCUACGGGAGAAAGCAGGGGAUCACUUGUGACCUUGUGCUAAUAGAUGAGCCUAAGUCGGAUUAGCUAGUUGGUGGGGUAAAGGCCUACCAAGGCGACGAUCUGUAGCGGGUCGGAGAGGAGAAUCCGGCACACUGGGACUGAGACCCGGCCCAGGCUGCUACGGGAGGCAGCAGUGGGGAAUAUUGGACAAUGGGGGGAACCCUGAUCUAGCCAUGCCGCGUGUGUUAAGAAGGCCUUAUGGUUGUAAAGCACUUUAAGCGAGGAGGAGGCUCUUUUGGUGAAUACCCAAGAUGAGUGGACGUUACUCGCAGAAUAAGCACCGGCUAACUCUGUGCCAGCAGCCGCAGUAA
rnacentral:rRNA from 1 species